rnacentral:lncRNA from 1 species
GCCUUGUUUUUGUAAUAAUAGUAAAGAUAUUUAAGUAAAUAUAUAUUAUUCACAUGUAUUCGCUUGUCGAAGUCUAAAAUUUAAAGAGUAUGGCUAGCCAAGGCGAUGAAUCGACUGGAAAAGAUGAAGGCGAAGUGAAAUCUAGACCGUCAAUUUAUAACUAUUACUAUCCUGUUAACGUUGUACAUGUAUAAUGUGAUAUAACAAAGUCAGGAAAACUUUGCCAGUGGCAGUGGAAUGUUCGCU